UGAGGUAGUAGGUUGUGUGGUUUCAGGCGAGUGAUUUUUGCCGCCAUCAGGAGAUAACUAUACAACCUACUGCCUUCC
rnacentral:pre_miRNA from 1 species